rnacentral:rRNA from 1 species
AGAACGAACGCUGGCGGCAGGCUUAACACAUGCAAGUCGAACGCAUCGCAAGAUGAGUGGCAGACGGGUGAGUAACGCGUGGGAAUCUACCCAAUUCUUCGGAACAACUGAGGGAAACUUCAGCUAAUACCGGAUGUGCCCUUCGGGGGAAAGAUUUAUCGGAAUUGGAUGAGCCCGCGUUGGAUUAGCUAGUUGGUGGGGUAAAGGCCUACCAAGGCGACGAUCCAUAGCUGGUCUGAGAGGAUGAUCAGCCACACUGGGACUGAGACACGGCCCAGACUCCUACGGGAGGCAGCAGUGGGAAUAUUGGACAAUGGGCGCAAGCCUGAUCCAGCCAUGCCGCGUGUGUGAUGAAGGUCUUAGGAUUGUAAAGCACUUUCACCGGAGAAGAUAAUGACGGUAUCCGGAGAAGAAGCCCCGGCUAACUUCGUGCCAGCAGCCGC